rnacentral:rRNA from 1 species
CCCUUAGAUGCUCUGGGCCGCACGCGCGCUACACUGGUCGAUGCAACGAGUUUCUUUCCUUGGCCGACAGGCCUGGGCAAUCUUUGAACAUCGAUCGUGAUCGGGAUAGAUUCUUGUAAUUUUUGAUCUUAAACGAGGAAUUCCUAGUAAACGCAAGUCAUCAGCUUGCAUUGAUUACGUCCCUGCCCUUUGUACACACCGCCCGUCGCACCUACUGAUUGGAUGACUCGGUGAAAAAUUGGGACUGUGAAGAACACUGCUUAAUUGCGGCGUUUUUUAUGGGAACUUUUUUAAACCUCGUUAUCUAGAAGAAGGUGAAGUCGUAACA